GGGGUUGUGGCUCAGCGGUAGAGCACACACCUAGCACGUGCAAGGCCCUGGGUUCAAUCCUCAGCACCACA
rnacentral:tRNA from 1 species